CUCCAGAAUCCACUCUGGCUGGAAUCCGGUGGAUACAGCAGUGUUACAGGUGUGGGGAUAAUAUGUAAGACUGCAGUGAAGCGAUGUACCAGAUGAAUCCCUGGCCAAAGAACAGUUCGCCACAGUCGCUGUCCACAUGGGUCAGUGGGACCAAGCAGCACUCUGCUAAUGUGUGGACUCUGACCAGCAACAUCCAGCAAGACCCAGGCAGCGUUUUCUAUCUCCCAGCUGGAGUUUUGUUUGUGACGGGAGAGUCAGAUUUUUGUUGAAGCUGGAGGAACAGCCUCACACUUGCAGAGGUUAAUACACGCUACUGAUCCCUGAUGGGAGAAUCAUCACCUCUGCCAACAAAGAAGCCUGGUGGAUGUUUGUUUGCAGUCUGAUGAUGGGACAUCAUGCUCUGCAUCUUCAAAGUUUGUCUCUUGAUUAUUAUUCAUACACAGUAAUGUGAAGUAUGCUCAUAUCUAGUAUAACUGGACCAACCUGGUGCUCUUCAUUUAUGGAGGCUGUUGAGUCUGAAUGUUGGAUGUUGUGUAUCUCGUGUUCUCUGGGCUUUGUUGUCCUCAGUCUUUUUGCAGGAUCAGAAAACAAAACCAGGAGGCCUGUAAAUGUUUCUUCUCCAAUUGGAUGAUGAUAAGACUGUGACAUGGGAUGCCACCUUUAGUCUUGUGAUGAAGCAAAGCUCAGGAAGAAGUGUGAUUAAAUGGUACCCACAUGUGUGCUGCUGAGAAGGAUGUACAGGGGCACCUGCAGCCAAAUCCAAGCCGCCUCAGCAACUUCAGGUCUGUCAGCGUGCUGAGGUCACAGAAACAAGAAAAGCAGCUUGACUUCAGAGUGUUGUUUACAGUUUUCUGUCAUCAUGAUCUCCCGUGAAGUUUAUCACUAUUAGGCAAGCAAGCAGAGCGGCAGUUUGUGCUCACAGAUGGUGACGGUGUGGAGAGACGGUGGUGUUUCCUCAGAAGAACUAGCAGAGUCACAAAGGGCACGAGUCCAUCUCACCACCUUGACUUGCUGACUGAUGCUCGUCUGCACUGCACAGAGGAAAUCAACUGACCGAGGAGUGUUUCUGGGUGAGGGAGAGAGGAGUCAUCAUCCAGGUAAAGUGACGUGGAUCAGUGGACACACUUGUCUCCACUUUAAAGGAGACGAUCCGAGUCAUCCCUAAAUAUGGGCAGGAUAUCAGUCUUGGACUGUCUGACCUGCAGGAGCAGCACUGAAUGAUCACCACACAUGAUCAGUUUUGCUUUUGUGUCAAAUGUCAACCAGCUGGAGAGGAAACUACACCAGUGUACUGGGAUGUUUCACCAACACGUGCCAGACGCUAUUCCUUCAUGGUGACAUCACCAGAGACAGCCCCGCCCACCUCAGGACCUCGCCAUUGAUCAUGAUGGUUAUAAUGAUGACAGCGAGCGGAACUAAGACUGUAAAAAUCCAUGACCAGAAUGUUUAGAUGCUUUCUAAUUAUUCAUGAAUACUGAGAGCCUCUUUCUGUGUUUUGUCUGGUUUGGGGUUGUUGUUUUUUUACCUCAUUUGUUACUAACAAAGUUCACCAAACUCACACAGUUUACAUUCUGUAUGUUUCCAUCUUUACCAGCCACACUCUUAACUGCAAUUAAGCAAAUAAUCCUCGGAAAUCGUCGUUUUUCUCUUUUGUAAUUUUGUAAUUCAGUGAAUAUACUGCGCUGCUUCCUUUUAUUGCGUCACACAUUGCUUUAAGUUUUUCAGUGUUCAGUUAUUUUUUUACUGCUGUUUGAAUUCUCUGUAUGUUUGACCCUGUAGACUGUUUGAUGGACUGCUUGUCUUCCUGUUUGUAACCGCUGCC